UACGUAGGGUGCGAGCGUUGUCCGGAAUUACUGGGCGUAAAGAGCUCGUAGGUGGUUUGUCGCGUUGUUCGUGAAAACUCACAGCUUAACUGUGGGCGUGCGGGCGAUACGGGCAGACUGGAGUACUGCAGGGGAGACUGGAAUUCCUGGUGUAGCGGUGGAAUGCGCAGAUAUCAGGAGGAACACCGGUGGCGAAGGCGGGUCUCUGGGCAAUAACUGACGCUGAGGAGCGAAAGCGUGGGGGAGCAAACAGG
rnacentral:rRNA from 1 species